rnacentral:rRNA from 1 species
UCGACGAGCACUUGAGAUUGAAUCUUCGGAUGAGAACUCUUGUGACUGAGUGGCGGACGGGUGAGUAACGCGUGGGUAACCUACCUCAUACAGGGGGAUAACAGUUGGAAACGACCGCUAAUACCGCAUAACCCGCUAGUAUCGCAUGAUACGGACGGAAAAGAUUUAUCGGUAUGAGAUGGACCCGCGUCUGAUUAGCCAGUUGGCAGGGUAACGGCCUACCAAAGCAACGAUCAGUAGCCGGCCUGAGAGGGUGAACGGCCACAUUGGGACUGAGACACGGCCCAAACUCCUACGGGAGGCAGCAGUGGGGAAUAUUGCACAAUGGGGGAAACCCUGAUGCAGCGACGCCGCGUGAGUGAGGAAGUAUUUCGGUAUGUAAAGCUCUAUCAGCAGGGAAGAAAAUGACGGUACCUGACUAAGAAGCCCCGGCUAACUACGUGCCAGCAGCCGCGGUAAUACGUAGGGGGCAAGCGUUAUCCGGAUUUACUGGGUGUAAAGGGAGCGUAGACGGCUAAUCAAGUCAGAAGUGAAAACCCAGGGCUCAACCUUGGGACUGCUUUUGAAACUGAGUAGCUAGAGUGCAGGAGAGGUAAGCGGAAUUCCUAGUGUAGCGGUGAAAUGCGUAGAUAUUAGGAGGAACACCAGUGGCGAAGGCGGCUUACUGGACUGUAACUGACGUUGAGGCUCGAAAGCGUGGGGAGCAAACAGGAUUAGAUACCCUGGUAGUCCACGCCGCAAACGAUGAAUACUAGGUGUCAGGGGGCAAAGCUCUUUGGUGCCGCAGCAAACGCAAUAAGU